UACGUAGGGCGCAAGCGUUGUCCGGAAUUAUUGGGCGUAAAGAGCUCGUAGGCGGCUUGUCACGUCGGGUGUGAAAGCCCGGGGCUUAACCCCGGGUCUGCAUUCGAUACGGGCAGGCUAGAGUGUGGUAGGGGAGAUCGGAAUUCCUGGUGUAGCGGUGAAAUGCGCAGAUAUCAGGAGGAACACCGAUGGCGAAGGCAGGUCUCUGGGCCAUUACUGACACUGAGAAGCGAAAGCAUGGGGAGCGAACAGG
rnacentral:rRNA from 1 species